UACAGCAGCCACACCACCUGCAGUUCAGACUAGGAAAUCCACCUGAAGCUAAGCAGGUUUGGGGCUGACAAGUACUUGGAUGGCAGAUCAACUAUGAAAGCUGGGUUGCUGCUGGAA
rnacentral:rRNA from 1 species